rnacentral:rRNA from 1 species
AGAGUUUGAUCCUGGCUCAGGAUGAACUUUGGCGGCGUGCCUAAUACAUGCAAGUAGAACGCUGAAGAGAGGAGCUUGCUCUUCUUGGAUGAGUUGCGAACGGGUGAGUAACGCGUAGGUAACCUGCCUUGUAGCGGGGGAUAACUAUUGGAAACGAUAGCUAAUACCGCAUAACAAUGGAUGACCCAUGUCAUUUAUUUGAAAGGGGCAAAUGCUCCACUACAAGAUGGACCUGCGUUGUAUUAGCUAGUAGGUGAGGUAACGGCUCACCUAGGCGACGAUACAUAGCCGACCUGAGAGGGUGAUCGGCCACACUGGGACUGAGACACGGCCCAGACUCCUACGGGAGGCAGCAGUGGGGGAUAUUGCACAAUGGGGGAAACCCUGAUGCAGCGACGCCGCGUGGAGGAAGAAGGUUUUCGGAUUGUAAACUCCUGUCGUUAGGGACGAUAAUGACGGUACCUAACAAGAAAGCACCGGCUAACUACGUGCCAGCAGCCGCGGUAAAACGUAGGGUGCAAGCGUUGUCCGGAAUUACUGGGUGUAAAGGGAGCGCAGGCGGACCGGCAAGUUGGAAGUGAAAACUAUGGGCUCAACCCAUAAAUUGCUUUCAAAACUGCUGGCCUUGAGUAGUGCAGAGGUAGGUGGAAUUCCCGGUGUAGCGGUGGAAUGCGUAGAUAUCGGGAGGAACACCAGUGGCGAAGGCGACCUACUGGGCACCAACUGACGCUGAGGCUCGAAAGCAUGGGUAGCAAACAGGAUUAGAUACCCUGGUAGUCCAUGCCGUAAACGAUGAUUACUAGGUGUUGGAGGAUUGGACCCCUUCGGUGCCGCAGUUAACACAAUAAGUAUCCCACCUGGGGGAGUACGACCGCAAGGUGAAACUCAAAGGAAUUGACGGGGGCCCGCACAAGCAGUGGAGUAUGUGGUUUAAUUCGAAGCAACGCGAAGAACCUUACCAGGUCUUGACAUCCGAUGCAUAGUGCAGAGAUGCAUGAAGUCCUUCGGGACAUCGAGACAGGUGGUGCAUGGUUGUCGUCAGCUCGUGUCGUGAGAUGUUGGGUUAAGUCCCGCAACGAGCGCAACCCUUAUUGCCAGUUACUACGCAAGAGGACUCUGGCGAGACUGCCGUUGACAAAACGGAGGAAGGUGGGGAUGACGUCAAAUCAUCAUGCCCUUUAUGACCUGGGCUACACACGUACUACAAUGGCGUUUAACAAAGAGAAGCAAGACCGCGAGGUGGAGCAAAACUCAAAAACAACGUCUCAGUUCAGAUUGCAGGCUGCAACUCGCCUGCAUGAAGUCGGAAUUGCUAGUAAUCGCGGAUCAGCAUGCCGCGGUGAAUACGUUCCCGGGCCUUGCACACACCGCCCGUCA